rnacentral:tRNA from 1 species
GGAGAGAUGUCAGAGAGGUCGAUCGUGCGGCACUCGAAAUGCCGUGUCCGUCAAGGACCGUGGGUUCGAAUCCCACUCUCUCCGCCA